UUCCUAUGCAUAUACUUCUUUGUGGAUCUGGUCUAAAGAGGUAUAGCGCAUGGGAAGA
rnacentral:pre_miRNA from 1 species